GAAUGCAUGUUUUUUUAUUAAAUUUUUUUAAACAGCGUGUCUAAAAUUCAACAUACCAGAAAGCAGGCAGCCAGACAUUAAGGUGUAUGACCAGUCAGACACAGAAGUUGACACAGAGGUUUUUGAAGAAAUAGUGAAGGAGUCACCAGGAAAUCUGAGAAUCAUGCUGGGCAAUGGAUUUGAUGCGCAAUGCUGAGUCAGCUGCUGAAGUUGAGAAUGGCUGGGACAGUGACAUGUCUGCCAUCUUGCUGCUGCUACAUCUGCUACCACCAUCUGCACAAGGUAGAAAGAGGCCGGGAAAGCUUUCUGCGUAUCAAGCUGUAGAUCAGCUCAUCAGAUUUCAAAAGGUUGGAACCAGUGUGCAGCAGCAUCUAGACAACAUCAACCAAAGCAGUCAUCCCUAACUUCUUGCCCAGGGAUCCACACAGAGCACCAUUUACUCCUACUUCAUUGUGGUUGACAAGCAUGCACUUCCAUGCAAGGCAACAGGUUCAGUUGGAGCUUUUGACGAACUCUUUAAAGCCCAAUAUGUCUUUGGUACGUCAUACAGUUCUUCCCUGAGCAGCUUUUUCACUUUUGUCCAAACAACCAUCUAUAACAUCGAAAUGGGGGAAACAAAGGAGACUCCUAGGGUUGCGGGCAAGAAUGAUGCGUUAGUUGAAAUAAAGCUAUGAAGUGUUUUCUUUGCAAUAGUGACCAUGGAAGUCCAAACAACCUUGUUUAGCACUUUAAGGUAAUUCAUGGGCUUUGUACAGGCAGGACUCUUUUUCUGAAGUGUGGACAAGAAGGAUGCUCACGUUCUUUUGGUAGUUUUUCUGGUUUAAGAAAGCAUCUUAAUAAGUGGAAGCAGUUUAGUUGAAUCUGAAGAUUGUUCAAGACAUUAAAGUGUUAGAGAGCGAUGUUAUUAAAAUUCCAUAAUACAAUGGUUAUGUUCGUGGCACUGUAGUACCGGUUACUGGGGAUAAUUUGGGUUUGCAUAGUUUGUUUGGAUUGGUGGAGUCUUUCAGUGCAAGGUACUGUUGCAGGUUCUGUUUAGUGGAAAAGGAGGAUUUUCAGACAGAAUUCUCUGAAGAUACUUCCAAAGUAGUUUUGUGCAACAAAGGUAUUCACACUGCUCACUGUCAAGUAAUAGCUUGUAAUCCAUCCCUUCCAUAGGUUUUUGGUGUGAAAAAUUCAUGCAUAAUAAAUUUAUUGAGUAUUGUUUCGGUCAGAGACAAGGCAAUGUGUUUGCAAUGUAAAUUCAAUGACAUUGAAAUGCCUUAUUAUUUUACAAUAAAUUGUGAGUUCUGUGA